UCUCAUGGUGCCGGGUNCUUAUACCUAAAGG
rnacentral:piRNA from 1 species